rnacentral:ncRNA from 1 species
CGAGCCGGCACCUCGUACGGGGUCCGUCCGAGCCGCUUCGGCGGCCGGAUGCAUGGACCCGCGAUGACCCGGCUGGGUUGAAGGAGAUCGCACAUG